rnacentral:rRNA from 1 species
GACGAACGCUGGCGGCGUGCUUAACACAUGCAAGUCGAACGGAAAGGCCCUGCAUUUGUGGGGUGCUCGAGUGGCGAACGGGUGAGUAACACGUGAGUAACCUGCCCUUGACUUUGGGAUAACUUCAGGAAACUGGGGCUAAUACCGGAUAGGAGCUCCUGCUGCAUGGUGGGGGUUGGAAAGCUUCGGCGGUUGGGGAUGGACUCGCGGCUUAUCAGCUUGUUGGUGGGGUAGUGGCUUACCAAGGCUUUGACGGGUAGCCGGCCUGAGAGGGUGACCGGCCACAUUGGGACUGAGAUACGGCCCAGACUCCUACGGGAGGCAGCAGUGGGGAAUAUUGCACAAUGGGCGGAAGCCUGAUGCAGCAACGCCGCGUGCGGGAUGACGGCCUUCGGGUUGUAAACCGCUUUCGCCUGUGACGAAGCGUGAGUGACGGUAAUGGGUAAAGAAGCACCGGCUAACUACGUG